rnacentral:rRNA from 1 species
CAUAGGUUAAUGAGGCGAACCGGGGGAACUGAAACAUCUAAGUACCCCGAGGAAAAGAAAUCAACCGAGAUUCCCCCAGUAGCGGCGAGCGAACGGGGAGGAGCCCAGAGCCUGAAUCAGUGUGUGUGUUAGUGGAAGCGUCUGGAAAGGCGCGCGAUACAGGGUGACAGCCCCGUACACAAAAAUGCACAUACUGUGAGCUCGAUGAGUAGGGCGGGACACGUGGUAUCCUGUCUGAAUAUGGGGGGACCAUCCUCCAAGGCUAAAUACUCCUGACUGACCGAUAGUGAACCAGUACCGUGAGGGAAAGGCGAAAAGAACCCCGGCGAGGGGAGUGAAAAAGAACCUGAAACCGUGUACGUACAAGCAGUGGGAGCCUCUUAAUGGGGUGACUGCGUACCUUUUGUAUAAUGGGUCAGCGACUUAUAUUCUGUAGCAAGGUUAACCGAAUAGGGGAGCCGAAGGGAAACCGAGUCUUAACUGGGCGUUAAGUUGCAGGGUAUAGACCCGAAACCCGGUGAUCUAGCCAUGGGCAGGUUGAAGGUUGGGUAACACUAACUGGAGGACCGAACCGACUAAUGUUGAAAAAUUAGCGGAUGACUUGUGGCUGGGGGUGAAAGGCCAAUCAAACCGGGAGAUAGCUGGUUCUCCCCGAAAGCUAUUUAGGUAGCGCCUCGUGAAUUCAUCUCCGGGGGUAGAGCACUGUUUCGGCAAGGGGGUCAUCCCGACUUACCAACCCGAUGCAAACUGCGAAUACCGGAGAAUGUUAUCACGGGAGACACACGGCGGGUGCUAACGUCCGUCGUGAAGAGGGAAACAACCCAGACCGCCAGCUAAGGUCCCAAAGUCAUGGUUAAGUGGGAAACGAUGUGGGAAGGCCCAGACAGCCAGGAUGUUGGCUUAGAAGCAGCCAUCAUUUAAAGAAAGCGUAAUAGCUCACUGGUCGAGUCGGCCUGCGCGGAAGAUGUAACGGGGCUAAACCAUGCACCGAAGCUGCGGCAGCGACACUAUGUGUUGUUGGGUAGGGGAGCGUUCUGUAAGCCUGUGAAGGUGUACUGUGAGGUAUGCUGGAGGUAUCAGAAGUGCGAAUGCUGACAUAAGUAACGAUAAAGCGGGUGAAAAGCCCGCUCGCCGGAAGACCAAGGGUUCCUGUCCAACGUUAAUCGGGGCAGGGUGAGUCGACCCCUAAGGCGAGGCCGAAAGGCGUAGUCGAUGGGAAACAGGUUAAUAUUCCUGUACUUGGUGUUACUGCGAAGGGGGGACGGAGAAGGCUAUGUUGGCCGGGCGACGGUUGUCCCGGUUUAAGCGUGUAGGCUGGUUUUCCAGGCAAAUCCGGAAAAUCAAGGCUGAGGCGUGAUGACGAGGCACUACGGUGCUGAAGCGACAAAUGCCCUGCUUCCAGGAAAAGCCUCUAAGCAUCAGGUAACAUCAAAUCGUACCCCAAACCGACACAGGUGGUCAGGUAGAGAAUACCAAGGCGCUUGAGAGAACUCGGGUGAAGGAACUAGGCAAAAUGGUGCCGUAACUUCGGGAGAAGGCACGCUGAUAUGUAGGUGAAGCGACUUGCUCGUGGAGCUGAAAUCAGUCGAAGAUACCAGCUGGCUGCAACUGUUUAUUAAAAACACAGCACUGUGCAAACACGAAAGUGGACGUAUACGGUGUGACGCCUGCCCGGUGCCGGAAGGUUAAUUGAUGGGGUUAGCGGUAACGCGAAGCUCUUGAUCGAAGCCCCGGUAAACGGCGGCCGUAACUAUAACGGUCCUAAGGUAGCGAAAUUCCUUGUCGGGUAAGUUCCGACCUGCACGAAUGGCGUAAUGAUGGCCAGGCUGUCUCCACCCGAGACUCAGUGAAAUUGAACUCGCUGUGAAGAUGCAGUGUACCCGCGGCAAGACGGAAAGACCCCGUGAACCUUUACUAUAGCUUGACACUGAACAUUGAGCCUUGAUGUGUAGGAUAGGUGGGAGGCUUUGAAGUGUGGACGCCAGUCUGCAUGGAGCCGACCUUGAAAUACCACCCUUUAAUGUUUGAUGUUCUAACGUGGGCCCCUUACCGGGGUUGCGGACAGUGUCUGGUGGGUAGUUUGACUGGGGCGGUCUCCUCCUAAAGAGUAACGGAGGAGCACGAAGGUUGGCUAAUCCUGGUCGGACAUCAGGAGGUUAGUGCAAUGGCAUAAGCCAGCUUGACUGCGAGCGUGACGGCGCGAGCAGGUGCGAAAGCAGGUCAUAGUGAUCCGGUGGUUCUGAAUGGAAGGGCCAUCGCUCAACGGAUAAAAGGUACUCCGGGGAUAACAGGCUGAUACCGCCCAAGAGUUCAUAUCGACGGCGGUGUUUGGCACCUCGAUGUCGGCUCAUCACAUCCUGGGGCUGAAGUAGGUCCCAAGGGUAUGGCUGUUCGCCAUUUAAAGUGGUACGCGAGCUGGGUUUAGAACGUCGUGAGACAGUUCGGUCCCUAUCUGCCGUGGGCGCUGGAGAACUGAGGGGGGCUGCUCCUAGUACGAGAGGACCGGAGUGGACGCAUCACUGGUGUUCGGGUUGUCAUGCCAAUGGCACUGCCCGGUAGCUAAAUGCGGAAGAGAUAAGUGCUGAAAGCAUCUAAGCACGAAACUUGCCCCGAGAUGAGUUCUCCCUGACUCCUUGAGAGUCCUGAAGGAACGUUGAAGACGACGACGUUGAUAGGCCGGGUGUGUAAGCGCAGCGAUGCGUUGAGCUAACCGGUACUAAUGAACCGUGAGGCUUAACCUU